UACGUAGGGCGCAAGCGUUGUCCGGAAUUAUUGGGCGUAAAGAGCUCGUAGGCGGCCUGUUGCGUCCGCUGUGAAAUCCCGGGGCUCAACCCCGGGCCUGCAGUGGAUACGGGCUGGCUAGAGGCAGGCAGGGGAGAACGGAAUUCCUGGUGUAGCGGUGAAAUGCGCAGAUAUCAGGAGGAACACCGGUGGCGAAGGCGGGUCUCUGGGCCGUAACUGACGCUGAGGAGCGAAAGCCAGGGGAGCGAACGGG
rnacentral:rRNA from 1 species